GCUCAAAACAGAUAUCUACUGAGAACCUGCUGGACGCAACAACACUCAAAGUAAGAGAAGGGUGUAGGUAAUGAGGCAGACAAGAAAUAAGGGAAGAGGAGAAGCUGAUAGAAAAGUGAGGUAAGGAAGAGGACAAACAUGAUCAAGGGGAAAGAAAGAGGAAGAAAUAAAGAAAAUCUUGAAAAGUUAGCAUGGGUCAAAGCUAAAAAGGGACGGUGUGACCCAGACACGAAUGUAAAGAUGAGACGGAGAUGGAUUUUUACCAGCUGAGCCUCAAGAGAAGCCCGAGAAUACUGGAGUGGGCAGCCUAUCCCUUCUCCAGCAGAUCUUCCCAACCCAGGAAUUGAGAACCGGGGUCUCCUUUACCAACUGAGCAAUGAGGGAAGCCCUUGGAGCUGGACAAACUUGAGAGAUACCUGUAAUGCACCAAUCAAUUGAAGCUGCGAACUCAUCUAAAUAGAAGAGGAAGAAGAAUCAAAGAUGAGUCUGAAGGAUUAGUGAGUGGUGCCUUUUGUAUAAAUGGAAAAAUAGAAGAGUGACCUCCCAGGUGGCACAGUUGAAAGAAGCUGCCUGCCAAUGCAGGAGAUGCAAGAGACUCAGCUUCCAUCCCUGGAUUGGGAAGAUCCCCCGGAGUAGGAAAUGGCAACUUGCUCCAGUAUUCUUGCCUGAAAAAUUCCACGGACAGAGGAGCCUGGUGGGUUACAGUCCAUGGGGUUGCUAAGAAUCAGACACGACUGAGUAACUGAGCGUACAGUACACCCACAACAUUUCAGCUUUUUGGUGUCUAUUCUCUGUAGAAGCAGGCAGACCUUAUUUUAUUACGCUUUGUUUUAUUGUGCCUCACAGAUACUGAGUUGUUUGUUUGUUUUUUAACAGGUUGAAGGUUUAUAGCAACCCCACAUUGAACAAGCCUAUUAACACUAUUUUCCCAACAAUAUUUGCUCACUUCGCAUCUCUGUGUCACAUUUUCGUAAUUCUUGCAAUAUUUUAAACUUCUAAAUUGCUAUGAUCUUUGUUAUGGUGACCUGCGAUCGGUGACCUUUGAUAUUACUGUUGUAACUAUAGAUGCAGUGGAAAAGGCAAGAGAGCUGGAAGUGGAGCCUGAAGAUCUGACUGAAUUGCUAUAAUCUCGAGAUAAAACUAAUGCAUGAAGAGUCUUUUAUUCCAGAUUCCACAAACAAGGAAACAAAGACUAACAGUGUUAGUCUUUCUCUGACUUACUUUACUUAGCAGAAUACCCUCAACUUCCUGCCGUCCAUGUUGUCACAGACAGCAAGAUGUCCUUUAUUAUGUAAAGUCCAUACAUUUUUUUAGACCUAAUGUUAUUGCACACCUAAUAGGCUUCAGCACAGUAUAAAUAUAACUUUUACAUGCACUGGGAAAUCAGAAAAAUCUGUGUGACUCACUUUAUUUCGAGAUUCUGGAACCAAAGGUGUGUCUCUCCAAGGUAUGCCUGUACUUGAUAUUAAGAAACAUCACGUUAUGCUCAGUUUUAAAAGUGCUUUGCACACACAAAAAAGUGCUUCAUAGCCCCCAGUAUACAGACACGUUUAAAGAAAAACAUGUUAAAUUUAUUGGAGUUCAAACGGCAAGAUGAUGGUGGAAGCCACAGUUGCUCUGCUUCA
ensembl:lncRNA